GACGAACGCUGGCGGCGUGCUUAACACAUGCAAGUCAAGGGGGCCCGACGCAAUGGGCGAACCGGCGGAACGGGUGCGUAACACGUGAGCAACCUACCGAACUGUGGGGGAGUAGCCGGCCUAACGGCCGAGUAAUACCGCAUACGCUCUCAGGGAGGCAUUUCUUUGAGAGGAAACCUACGGGACAGAUCGAGGGGCUCGCGGCCUAUCAGCUAGUUGGCGAGGUAACGGCUCACCAAGGCAACGACGGGUAGCUGGUCUGAGAGGAUGGCCAGCCACAUUGGGACGUGAGAUACGGCCCAGACUCCUACGGGAGGCAGCAGUGGGGAAUCUUGCGCAAUGGCCUAACGGCUGACGCAGCGACGCCGCGUGUGGGAUGAAGCUCUUCGGAGUGUAAACCACUGUUGCCCGGGACGAACAGCUCGAUUUCUCGAGCCUGACGGGUACCGGGUGAGGAAGCACCGGCUAACUCCGUGCCAGCAGCCGCAGUAAC
rnacentral:rRNA from 1 species